GCCGCCUUAGCUCAGCGGUAGAGCGCCUCCAUGGUAAGGAGGAGGUCUCGGGUUCAACUCCCGAAGGCGGCUCCG
rnacentral:tRNA from 1 species